UACGAAGGGUGCAAACGUUGCUCGGAAUUAUUGGGCGUAAAGCGCACGUAGGCGGAUUGCUAAGUCAGGGGUGAAAUCCUGGAGCUCAACUCCAGAACUGCCUUUGAUACUGGCGACCUUGAGUCCGGGAGAGGUGAGUGGAACUGCGAGUGUAGAGGUGAAAUUCGUAGAUAUUCGCAAGAACACCAGUGGCGAAGGCGGCUCACUGGCCCGGUACUGACGCUGAGGUGCGAAAGCGUGGGGAGCAAACAGG
rnacentral:rRNA from 1 species